AAUGAUGAGCCUGAGUUAAAGGACUAUCGUGAUAGGAUAAAACAUGUAGCUAAACCUACCUUCAUUA
rnacentral:tRNA from 1 species